rnacentral:rRNA from 1 species
GACGAACGCUGGCGGCGUGCCUAAUACAUGCAAGUAGAACGCUGAAGAGAGGAGCUUGCUCUUCUUGGAUGAGUUGCGAACGGGUGAGUAACGCGUAGGUAACCUGCCUUGUAGCGGGGGAUAACUAUUGGAAACGAUAGCUAAUACCGCGUAACAAUGAAUGACUCAUGUCAUUUAUUUGAAAGGGGCAAUUGCUCCACUACAAGAUGGACCUGCGUUGUAUUAGCUAGUAGGUGAGGUAACGGCUCACCUAGGCGACGAUACAUAGCCGACCUGAGAGGGUGAUCGGCCACACUGGGACUGAGACACGGCCCAGACUCCUACGGGAGGCAGCAGUAGGGAAUCUUCGGCAAUGGGGGCAACCCUGACCGAGCAACGCCGCGUGAGUGAAGAAGGUUUUCGGAUCGUAAAGCUCUGUUGUAAGUCAAGAACGAGUGUGAGAGUGGAAAAUUCACACUGUGACGGUAGCUUACCAGAAAGGGACGGCUAACUACGUGCCAGCAGCCGCGGUAAUACGUAGGUCCCGAGCGUUGUCCGGAUUUAUUGGGCGUAAAGCGAGCGCAGGCGGUUUGAUAAGUCUGAAGUUAAAGGCUGUGGCUCAACCAUAGUUCGCUUUGGAAACUGUCAAACUUGAGUGCAGAAGGGGAGAGUGGAAUUCCAUGUGUAGCGGUGAAAUGCGUAGAUAUAUGGAGGAACACCGGUGGCGAAAGCGGCUCUCUGGUCUGUAACUGACGCUGAGGCUCGAAAGCGUGGGGAGCGAACAGGAUUAGAUACCCUGGUAGUCCACGCCGUAAACGAUGAGUGCUAGGUGUUGGAUCCUUUCCGGGAUUCAGUGCCGCAGCUAACGCAUUAAGCACUCCGCCUGGGGAGUACGACCGCAAGGUUGAAACUCAAAGGAAUUGACGGGGGCCCGCACAAGCGGUGGAGCAUGUGGUUUAAUUCGAAGCAACGCGAAGAACCUUACCAGGUCUUGACAUCCCGAUGCUAUUUCUAGAGAUAGAAAGUUACUUCGGUACAUCGGUGACAGGUGGUGCAUGGUUGUCGUCAGCUCGUGCCGUGAGAUGUUGGGUUAAGUCCCGCAACGAGCGCAACCCCUAUUGUUAGUUGCCAUCAUUCAGUUGGGCACUCUAGCGAGACUGCCGGUAAUAAACCGGAGGAAGGUGGGGAUGACGUCAAAUCAUCAUGCCCCUUAUGACCUGGGCUACACACGUGCUACAAUGGUUGGUACAACGAGUUGCGAGUCGGUGACGGCAAGCUAAUCUCUUAAAGCCAAUCUCAGUUCGGAUUGUAGGCUGCAACUCGCCUACAUGAAGUCGGAAUCGCUAGUAAUCGCGGAUCAGCACGCCGCGGUGAAUACGUUCCCGGGCCU